GCUUUCAACUGGUGAGGAAUAGAUGAAAGGAAGAUAUGAAGAUUUACCUGAUGGAUGUAGGUUGUGAUCAUGGGAGACGAGUGGAACUAGUUUUGUAACAUGUCCAACGGUGGACUUUGGUAUUGGUGGCGUUGAACCUUCGGGUGUAUUAACAGGAAGUCUAAAAGAAAGGAAGAAAGUGUUUCUGCAACCAAGCUACAUAUCCAGCCAAUUAUAAAUGCCUUCAUUAAACUACGUUCAUAAUUCUAUGAAUAUGAAGAAAUUGUCAAGUUAUGAGACAGCCACAAAAGACGACCUGAGAUGAGCUCCUGGCCGCC